rnacentral:rRNA from 1 species
GACAGAGGCCCCAAGCGUUAGGCGGAAUCACUGGGCUUAAAGCGUGUGUAGGCGGACGCCUAAGUGUCUUGUGAAAUCCCACGGCUCACCCGUGGAGCUGCUGGGCAUACUGGGCGUCUUGGGCCAACUAGGGGCAGCCGGAACAAGCGGUGGAGCGGUGAAAUGCGUAGAUAUCGCUUGGAACGCCGAAGGUGAAAACAGGACUGC